rnacentral:rRNA from 1 species
AAGAUUUUAAAGGUCGAACAGACCUAGUCUAUAAGCAUCUACACCUAAAACUAAUCUUAAUCCAACAUCGAGGUCACAAUCCCCUUUUUCGAUAUGAACUCUCAAAAAAAAUUAUG